UACGAAGGGGGCUAGCGUUGCUCGGAAUGACUGGGCGUAAAGGGCGCGUAGGCGGAUGGCACAGUCAGAUGUGAAAUUCCCGGGCUUAACCUGGGGGCUGCAUUUGAUACGUGUGAUCUAGAGUGAGGAAGAGGGUCGUGGAAUUCCCAGUGUAGAGGUGAAAUUCGUAGAUAUUCGGAAGAACACCAGUGGCGAAGGCGACUUACUGGACACAUAUUGACGCUGAGGUGCGAAAGCGUGGGGAGCAAACAGG
rnacentral:rRNA from 1 species